rnacentral:misc_RNA from 1 species
AAGUCGUAACAAGGUUUCCGUAGGUGAACCUGCGGAAGGAUCAUUAUUGAAUUUUGAAGUGGGACGCUUGAGCUGGCAUUGCAGGUGCUCGGCGUCUCCAUUCAUUCCAAUUCAAACACCUGUGCACCUCGAGAACGUGAGUUGGGUUAUUGGAUCUGUGGUUCAUUUAUUCCCUUAUUUGGGUUGAACUUAGUGAAAGUGCCCGCUUUCGUUUCUUAUUACAAACUCGUUAUAUUGUUUUGUAGAAUGUAUCGCCUUUAAAUAGGCAAAGUCUAAAUACAACUUUCAACAACGGAUCUCUUGGCUCUC